GUAGGGGCCUGAGCAAACAAUCAAGUCUGACCCCCUGCCAUGGCAGGAAAGAGUAUUGGGGUCAAAUAACUCCGGCAAGAUGUUCAUCCACUCUCCUCUUAAAGACCCCCAGGGUAGGGGG